AACUUUGCUUCGUUGUGCUUGAAAUUGUCCCUCCAAAGGAGGAUGUGGUCACGUGUUCGUGAUCUUACCAAAUCUGUCACAGACCAGGACUGUGCAUUCAAUUUUAAAAUUUUGAAUAGCAAAGCACUAGGAGAUGAAGAAUGGCUGAAGUGACAUCACUCAGUGCUGGUUUGGGAAGCUUUCGGAUGUCACAGAGUUUACCUGAUAGGAUGGGUAAAAAAUAAUCACAAUACGAAUGAAAGAGAAAGACAUAUAUCACAGAUCCCUCAAUUAUUUGUGCGUGUGGGCUAGGCUAUUAUAAAAUAAGCUUCGCCCAAAUUUCUUCCAGAAGGUACUGUACUCGGAGGUCGUGUGAUAAAGAUGGAGCCACGUGGUUUUCCACAGGUGGAGGUGUGGAUGGGGAAUUGGGCGAAAGUGGUCAAAAGGUACAGACUCCUUUUGUUAUAAAGAUAAGUAAGCCCUGGAGAUGUAACGUACAGCGUGGUGACUACAGAACUGGAGAGAGUCCGUGUGAGGAAUGGGGGAGGCUGUUUUUCACUACAUUGGCUGAGUCUCUGGAAAAGAUUGCAUCUUGAAUUAGCAGCUGGACUGCCUACAAUCCAGCCCACCUCCCGUGCCCGCCCAUUUCACGUCUCUUGCUCGACUGCACCAGCCCAAUGCUGGGACUGAUGACAAUUUUCUGACCAGCUUUCACCAGCGAAGAAGGCUGCCUCGAAAUCCACGAGCUCUCUUGUUCAUUCCCAGGGUGAAGCUCUCACAAAAUGCCCCGAAGCUGGACAAUGCUGAGAAAACCCAAACUCACUCCUUUGUGUCUUCCAGCAACAAGCGUCUGACUGCCCACAGUGGCGACGGGAGCGGCCAGGAUUGUAAGGAAGUCAACACAGAGGAUCACCUCACGAAACACGAGGUCGCCAACCCGGUCCACCCCUGGGGCCCAGACAUGCCGGCACUCGACAGAUUUUAACCCCCUCCCAGGGCACCACCAAGACACACGGGUCUCCCGUUUCAUGUCCUCAGCACUCCGACAUUUAUCCCCUCAUCCCACCCCAUUAGGGAACACUCAGGGCACAGAUGCGUCAAAGCCGGCUGGAUGGAAAACCACGGCUCGUCCAGGGGCUCGCUGCCAAAGUCCGCAGAUCAGCGUGCGCUGCUGACGGUGCCAAAGCCAAAGCACGCCUGACACCGUGCAGGU